UACGGGGGGGGCAAGCGUUGUUCGGAAUUACUGGGCGUAAAGGGCGUGUAGGCGGCCAACUAAGUCCGACGUGAAAUCCCCAGGCUUAACCUGGGAACUGCGUCGGAUACUGGAUGGCUUGAAUCCGGGAGAGGGAUGCAGAAUUCCAGGUGUAGCGGUGAAAUGCGUAGAUAUCUGGAGGAAUACCGGUGGCGAAGGCGGCAUCCUGGAUCGGCAUUGACGCUGAAGCGCGAAAGCGUGGGGAGCGAACAGG
rnacentral:rRNA from 1 species